CUAGGUAUGGUGAUAUCACACCAGUGACAUUUGUGGGUAAGAUCAUUGGCAGCAUGUGCGCGUUGAUCGGAGUGCUUCUACUGGCCCUCCCGGUGCCCAUCAUAGAGGAAAAG
rfam:Nematostella vectensis strain CH2 x CH6 NEMVEscaffold_71_Cont10153, whole genome shotgun sequence.